AUAUUUCAGAAAGCCUCGCGUUAGUAUUUCGUUGUGUUGGUUAAUGAAUAUGAAUUUUGGUAACGUGGGGGUAAAGUCCUGAUUGUUGUAUGUUGCGAUUAGAGUCGUUGAGAUUGUUGCGAAAGUGGCUAAGAGCUGAGGUUUUGGCUGCCGUGAUUUCGAGUUGAGGCGAAAAGGACUCUGUGAGACGUUUGGGGUUAUGGAUUUGCGUUUUGAGGUGGAAGGAAAGGAGAAGGGGGAGAGUUAUCGACUUUGAUGCUCGAAUAUGCUCCAUGAUUGUGCAAUAAUUCUCCGUUUGCAUUGCUGAUUGUCAGGGGAUGAAGAAAAAGAUGUAACUCGCCGGUGAUUCGGUGAUAUCUGUAAAUUUAGGAUUUUUAUCCUUCCCAAUUGUGAUGCUAUUUCUCGAGGAUUUUGAACUAUUGAGUUUGAAAUAAAAAUCUAUUGUUGUCUU